rnacentral:lncRNA from 1 species
AUCACAAUUCAAAAAUUUAAUAGGUCACAAUUUGUUCAUCGACCACAAAUCAAAAAUUAAUCCAUCACAAUUUAUAUAUCGAUCACAAUUCACAAAUAUUAUAUGUCACUGUUUUAUUAGACGGUCACAAAUUAAUAUAUUUUUAGGUCACAUUGAUCAUAAUUUAUUUUUUUCAUCGGUCAAAUAUUUGUUUAUACGUGAUCACCACUACAGCAUCACUGCCACCGUCUCCGCCAGAACCACCGACAGCAACCAUCGCAAGGCAAAGCCACCACCAGCAACCCCUCACCAUUGCAAGCUAACUAUCACCACAAUAAUAGAAACCAAUCAGCAAAACAAUGAAAAUCGAACCACCGGAUCUCGUCACUUAUGCCAUCCCACACAAACCACCAUCGCCAUCGUCGACCAACACUCACCAAACCAUCAGAUCUGCCACUGCCAACCAUACAAAAACCAUCACCACCACUACUCUAACAACCAAAACCACUAGAACCCACCACCCACUACAACCACCAUCAACCCCUAUCACCACAACCACCAGAUCCGGUGGCAAGCAAACAUUCAAGUGUCGAUCGUAGAUUUUGCUUCGUAACUAUUGCUUCUGCGCUGCUAGUCGCCGGCAAUUAGAUCUUGAAAUGGAUAGUGGGCGGGGGGGGGGGGUGACGGCACCACACAAAACACCACUUCGCGCGUCGAUCGUAGAUCUAUUUUGCAAAUACUGCUCCUUUUGCAAAUACUGCUCCUGUGCUGCUAGUCACUAGUGAUUGCUCCUGAAAUGGACAGACGACGGGCAAAGAUGACUGGCAAAAUGGAUAAAUUGCUAGUCACUGACGAUUGCUCCAGAAAUGUAGAGAGAGAUGGUUGUGCAUUGUGAGUUGUGGGAGGCGACGGUUUGUGGGAGAGAGAGAGAGAGAUAAAGUGUGGGAAUUAAUUAGGGUUUGUAGUGUAUGUAUCGGAG